rnacentral:lncRNA from 1 species
UAGGUUCUUCACCAGUAGUAGAUCUGACUUCAUUUAAAGGAUUAUUCAUUUUCAUAGAGAUUGAGUGAAGUACUUGGCGGGGGUGCUGAGAGUGUGUCAGGAUGGGGUUAGAGUGUAAAUGGCUUUGUAAGCAUUCCUUUCUAGGCUGACUUCCAGCUCUGACUUGAAACCGUUUGCACCGACUUGCUCUGCUUUAAGAAAAACAUUCUAACUGCAUGAGAAGCUUAGAGAAAAGGGUAUGUGCUGCGUAACUUACUACAAAAAAUGAGUUUAUCAGUCUGUUUAUAUAUGAAAUAUUUUCUUAAUAAAGAAAAUUUGAGC